rfam:Erinaceus europaeus unplaced genomic scaffold scaffold00292, whole genome shotgun sequence
GAAUAUAGACAGAUGGCUAUGACAUCUGUCACCCCACUAAUAACGAGGGUUGAUUUAGCUGAUCUGGCUGGCUAGGCACGUGUCUCUUUCCUCCCUCACCACUCCAUGUGCAUCCCUCCAGAAGUUGCAUGCUAGGCCAAAGAGGAUGGCCUUCCCUGAAUAGAGAUGGACCAGUCUUCAGUCGAGGGUAUACAGGUAGUUUUGCUAACUGCUAGAACCUCUAAACACGCUCUCAAGAAAUCAUAAUAUAUUGCUCGGACUAGAUGGUUAAGUAUAUUAUUUUCCAUGAUUGUACAAAGCACAGUGGUCUCUGCAUUUUAU